GGCUAGGGCUCAGCGGUAGUGCACUUGCCUACUAGCAUGCAUGAGGCACUGGGUUCGAUUCUCAGCACCA
rnacentral:tRNA from 1 species